AGAAUCAUCCCAGUCAUCAGAACUUGCCGUUACCGAGGACGCAGACUGGCUUAGUGUUGCUAUGUUUGUUUCCGGCAGUGCUGGUCUUUGUUUCGUAAUUGGUUUUGUAGCCCACAACAAACUUAGGAAACAUGUAUGCGAAAGCGAUGGAAUUCACACCAGAAUGAUGACGAUCCAAAAUCAGUUGGACAACCACAAUUAAAUCCAAGUGCAUGAACCAC